CAACUACUCCCUCUGUCCCAAAUUUCUUAUCUCAGAUUUGUCUAGAUACGGAUGUAUCUAAUACUAAAAUGUGACUUGAUACAUCCGUAUCUAGACAAAUCUAAGGCAAGAAUUUUGGGACGGAGGGAGUACUUU
rfam:Triticum aestivum genome assembly, contig: Triticum_aestivum_CS42_TGACv1_scaffold_343389_4DL